AUUGAACGCUGGCGGCAGGCCUAACACAUGCAAGUCGAACGGUAACAGGAAGAAGCUUGGUUCUUUGCUGACGAGUGGCGGACGGGUGAGUAAUGUCUGGGAAACUGCCUGAUGGAGGGGGCUAACUACUGGAAACGGUAGCUUAUACCGCAUAACGUCGCAAGACCAAUGAGGGGGACCUUCGGGCCUCUUGCCAUCGGAUGUGCCCAGAUGGGAUUAGCUAGUAGGUGGGGUAACGGCUCACCUAGGCGACGAUCCCUAGCUGGUCUGAGAGGAUGACCAGCCACAGUGGAACUGAGACAAGGUCCAGACUCAGACGGGAGGCAGCAGUGGGGAAUAUUGCACAAUGGGCGCAAGCCUGAUGCAGCCAUGCCGCGUGUAUGAAGAAGGCCUUCGGGUUGUAAAGUACUUUCAGCGGGGAGGAAGGGAGUAAAGUUAAUAACUUUGCUCAUUGACGUUACCCGCAGAAGAAGCACCGGCUAACUCCGUG
rnacentral:rRNA from 1 species